rnacentral:rRNA from 1 species
CGACGUGAGUAACCUGCCUUGGAGUGGGGAAUAACAGCUGGAAACAGCUGCUAAUACCGCAUGAUGCAGUUGGGUCGCAUGGCUCUGACUGCCAAAGAUUUAUCGCUCUGAGAUGGACUCGCGUCUGAUUAGCUGGUUGGCGGGGUAACGGCCCACCAAGGCGACGAUCAGUAGCCGGACUGAGAGGUUGGCCGGCCACAUUGGGACUGAGACACGGCCCAAACUCCUACGGGAGGCAGCAG